GACGAACGCUGGCGGCGUGCUUAACACAUGCAAGUCGAACGGUAAGGCCCUUCGGGGUACACGAGUGGCGAACGGGUGAGUAACACGUGGGUGAUCUGCCCUGCACUUCGGGAUAAGCCUGGGAAACUGGGUCUAAUACCGGAUAGGACCACUGCCUGCAUGGGUGGUGGUGGAAAGCUUUUGCGGUGUGGGAUGGGCCCGCGGCCUAUCAGCUUGUUGGUGGGGUGAUGGCCUACCAAGGCGACGACGGGUAGCCGGCCUGAGAGGGUGACCGGCCACACUGGGACUGAGACACGGCCCAGACUCCUACGGGAGGCAGCAGUGGGGAAUUUGGGCAAUGGGCGAAAGCCUGACCCAGCAACGCCGCGUGAAGGAUGAAGUAUUUCGGUAUGUAAACUUCGAAAGAAUGGGAAGAAUAAAUGACGGUACCAUUUAUAAGCUCCGGCUAACUACGUACCAGCCGCCGCCGUAA
rnacentral:rRNA from 1 species